rnacentral:rRNA from 1 species
GGAGGAUCCAAGCGUUAUCCGGAUUUAUUGGGUUUAAAGGGUGCGUAGGCGGCUUAUUAAGUCAGGGGUGAAAGACGGUGGCUCAACCAUCGCGGUGCCCUUGAUACUGAUGAGCUUGAAUGAACUAGAGGUAGGCGGAAUGUGACAAGUAGCGGUGAAAUGCAUAGAUAUGUCACAGAACACCGAUUGCGAAGGCAGCUUACUAUGGUUUUAUUGACGCUGAGGCACGAAAGCGUGGGGAUCAAACAGGAUUAGAUACCCUGGUAGUCCACGCCCUAAACGAUGAAUACUCGCUGUUAGCGAUAUACAGUUAGCGGCUAAGCGAAAGCGUUAAGUAUUCCACCUGGGGAGUACGCCCGCAAGGGUG